rnacentral:rRNA from 1 species
UGGCUCAGGACGAACGCUGGCGGCGUGCCUAAUACAUGCAAGUCGAACGCUUCUUUUCCCACCGGAGCUUGCUCCACCGGGAAAAGAGGAGUGGCGAACGGGUGAGUAACACGUGGGUAACCUGCCCAUCAGAAGGGGAUAACACUUGGAAACAGGUGCUAAUACCGUAUAACAAUCGAAACCGCAUGGUUUCGUUUUGAAAGGCGCUUUACGGUGCCGCUGAUGGAUGGACCCGCGGUGCAUUAGCUAGUUGGUGAGGUAACGGCUCACCAAGGCCACGAUGCAUAGCCGACCUGAGAGGGUGAUCGGCCACAUUGGGACUGAGACACGGCCCAAACUCCUACGGGAGGCAGCAGUAGGGAAUCUUCGGCAAUGGACGAAAGUCUGACCGAGCAACGCCGCGUGAGUGAAGAAGGUUUUCGGAUCGUAAAACUCUGUUGUUAGAGAAGAACAAGGGUGAGAGUAACUGUUCACCCCUUGACGGUAUCUAACCAGAAAGCCACGGCUAACUACGUGCCAGCAGCCGCGGUAAUACGUAGGUGGCAAGCGUUGUCCGGAUUUAUUGGGCGUAAAGCGAGCGCAGGCGGUUUCUUAAGUCUGAUGUGAAAGCCCCCGGCUCAACCGGGGAGGGUCAUUGGAAACUGGGAGACUUGAGUGCAGAAGAGGAGAGUGGAAUUCCAUGUGUAGCGGUGAAAUGCGUAGAUAUAUGGAGGAACACCAGUGGCGAAGGCGGCUCUCUGGUCUGUAACUGACGCUGAGGCUCGAAAGCGUGGGGAGCAAACAGGAUUAGAUACCCUGGUAGUCCACGCCGUAAACGAUGAGUGCUAAGUGUUGGAGGGUUUCCGCCCUUCAGUGCUGCAGCUAACGCAUUAAGCACUCCGCCUGGGGAGUACGACCGCAAGGUUGAAACUCAAAGGAAUUGACGGGGGCCCGCACAAGCGGUGGAGCAUGUGGUUUAAUUCGAAGCAACGCGAAGAACCUUACCAGGUCUUGACAUCCUUUGACCACUCUAGAGAUAGAGCUUCCCCUUCGGGGGCAAAGUGACAGGUGGUGCAUGGUUGUCGUCAGCUCGUGUCGUGAGAUGUUGGGUUAAGUCCCGCAACGAGCGCAACCCUUAUUGUUAGUUGCCAUCAUUUAGUUGGGCACUCUAGCAAGACUGCCGGUGACAAACCGGAGGAAGGUGGGGAUGACGUCAAAUCAUCAUGCCCCUUAUGACCUGGGCUACACACGUGCUACAAUGGGAAGUACAACGAGUCGCGAAGUCGCGAGGCUAAGCUAAUCUCUUAAAGCUUCUCUCAGUUCGGAUUGUAGGCUGCAACUCGCCUACAUGAAGCCGGAAUCGCUAGUAAUCGCGGAUCAGCACGCCGCGGUGAAUACGUUCCCGGGCCUUGUACACACCGCCCGUCACACCACGAGAGUUUGUAACACCCGAAGUCGGUGAGGUAACCUUUUUGGAGCCAGCCGCCUAAGGUGGGAUAGAUGAUUGGGGUGAAGUCGUA